AUUGAACGCUGGCGGCAUGCUUUACACAUGCAAGUCGAACGGUAACAGGCCUUCGGGUGCUGACGAGUGGCGAACGGGUGAGUAAUGCAUCGGAACGUACCCAGAGGUGGGGGAUAACGCAGCGAAAGCUGUGCUAAUACCGCAUGUGAUCUGAGGAUGAAAGCGGGGGACCGAGCAGCAAUGUUUGGCCUCGCGCCUUUGGAGCGGCCGAUGUCGGAUUAGCUAGUUGGUGGGGUAAAGGCCUACCAAGGCGACGAUCCGUAGCUGGUCUGAGAGGACGACCAGCCACACUGGGACUGAGACACGGCCCAGACUCCUACGGGAGGCAGCAAUGGGGAAUUUUGGACAAUGGGCGCAAGCCUGAUCCAGCAAUGCCGCGUGCGGGAAGAAGGCCUUCUGGUUGUAAACCGCUUUUGGCAGGAACGAAACGGUGUCCGCUAAUACCGGGCGCUAAUGACGGUACCUGCAGAAUAAGCACCGGCUAACUACGUG
rnacentral:rRNA from 1 species